rnacentral:rRNA from 1 species
ACUAGGAUUAGAUACCCUAUUAUUAAAAUUUAAAAUUAUAAUACUAAAAUAGUAGAUAAUUAUUUAUUAAAACUUAAAUAAUUUGGCGGUAUUUUAGUUUAUUUAGAGGAAUCUGUUUAAUAAUUGAUAUUCCACGAAUAAAUUUACUUAAUUUAUUAUUUUGUAUAUCGUUGUUAUAAAAAUAUUUUUUAAUAAAAUUAAUAU